GACGGAGGGUGCUAGCGUUGUUCGGAAUUACUGGGCGUAAAGGGCGCGUAGGCGGCCUGAUGCGUCAGGUGUGAAAGCCCGGGGCUCAACCCCGGAACGGCACCUGAUACGGUUGGGCUCGAGACCGAGAGAGGUGAGUGGAAUACCCAGUGUAGAGGUGAAAUUCGUAGAUAUUGGGUGGAACACCGGUGGCGAAAGCGGCUCACUGGCUCGGUUCUGACGCUGAGGCGCGAAAGCGUGGGGAGCAAACAGGAUUAGAAACCCCAGUAGUCC
rnacentral:rRNA from 1 species